UGCAGCUCCCAUUUAAGCAGCGGUCAAAAAGAGCCCACAGUGACAGUAUUACUGCAUGGCCACUGUUCUGUUGUCUAUAGUUGACUUAAGACAUUCUGGGAAACACAGCU